AUCACUGUCCUGCAUCUUUUUAAUGGAAAACCAAUAUCUAACCUAGAUUUACUUCAAACAGAUUUGAUAUUCCUACUGCAGAAAUUGAAAGUUAGGGUUCGAGGUGAUGUUAUGAGAUGAAUCCUGGUUUUGCUGCAAAAAUUGAAAGUUGUCGUGGGGACGAGUUAGGGUGGAAAAGAUAGAGAUUGGAAGUUAGGGUUUGAGGUGAUGUUCUGAGAUGAAUUGGGGUUUUGCUGCAAGAAUCAAAAUAGAAUGGGUUUGCAGAGAAUGAUGUUGGUGGUUGGAUUUGUGGAGUUGAAAGUUAGGGUUGGAUUUGAGUUUGAGAGUUAGGGUUGAGAUUUGUGGAUUUUGACAGUUAGAGUUGGAUUUGAGAUUGAAAGUUGGGUGGAGAAGAUAGAAAUUGAAAGUUAGGGUUGGAUUUGAGAAUCUGAGAUUGAAUGGAUUUGCAGAUAUUUAAUGGGUUUGCAGAGAAUGAUGUUGGUGGUUGGGUUUGUGGAGUUUGAUGCUGCUUUAAUUGUCUUGUGCAGAUGAAAUUGGAUUUGUGGAGUUUGAAGCUGCCUUAACUGUCUUGUGCAAAUGAAAUCAAGAUAAUGAAGUGGUGAAUUGAAUUUGAUGCGAAGGAGCUGAAGAUGGCAGUGUCUUGGUGUUGGUGCUGCUACUAAGUGGUGGUUGUGCAAUGGCCAGGGCCUGAUUUAGGAGACGAGGAAUGAGAAGAAUCAGAAAUGCAGGUGGUGGUGCUGUUAUUGGGUGGUAUUGCUGGAAUCUGCAAUGGUUACAGUAGAAUUAUAAAACAUGGAGGGAAAUGGGAUGGCAUGGAAAUGAUCCAGCUAAAGAUUUCAGGUACAAUGGUCGUUUAUUUAGAUUUAAAUACCCUUCAUGUGCAAUUACAGUCCUACAUAUUUGUAAUUUAUAGCGACUCUAUAUUUAGGACACAUUGAUGCAGCACUGCAUCUCGGCUUUCCUGGUAGUGUCUCCACAUACUCAUUAAUAUUUGCCAUCUUGUUCCUGCUAAAGUUGAACUAUGGACAGUUAAUGAUUAAGCUGUUUGUGAGUCUUCAAUGUGAGAUCCUCCUUUCAUCCUCUUGAGUUAUGAUAUAUGGUUGUUUACUUGAUAUUUAAUUUGCGGCAACAAGCUGGAAUAUCUGGGAGAAGGGAAUCACUUGAAGUAUAUGUUGCAUUUGAAGGACCUCUUGACCAUUCUUCAUAAAAUCUCCGCAAAAGUUUUUCGGGAGACCAAUCAAGUGUUGAUUCCCAUAACAUGCAGUUUAUGUCAUCUUUGUAGGUGCUUGGGAAGCAUCUUAUGUGUGCGGCGGUGGAACACUCACUAAAUGUGUUAUAUGAUUACAAAUAUUUCGGUCCUGGUUUACAUAAUACAGUAUUGGCUCUGACCAAUAAAUGAUGCCCGAGUUAUCAUCCGAUGUACGAUUCAUCAAGCAGAAUAUGGAGCUAUAUAGGCUUAUUGAAUUUUGCACUACGCAACUUUAUUUUCCUUUUCUUUUUGGUAAUUAAAAACUGCACUCUUACAUUACUUAUGUAUUUUUCUGAAAAAAAAAUGUUUAUCAGAAGAGACCCUAACAUGCCGUUAGUAUU